CGCUGACCGGGUCCAGCUUCCCCACUACCCACUUCUUCCUGGCCACCUGGGAGCAAGUGGGCGCCUAGGAGGAGGACAAGUUUGGGGCUGCAUGGUCUGGAGAGUUGCAGGCAGGGGCUUCAGUGCCCUACCACAUCCGUGCGGGAAUGUUGAGUGGUUUGCUCUUCUGCUGGACACCAACUGCACUGAGUUUCUAUAGGAUCUUACCAUCACAUUCUGAUGGGUAGCCCUGAGCAAUGAGAAUUGACAACUCUGGUAUCAUCUCUGUGACAUCCUCGACCAACAACUUGAGAGCAAGGUGUCCUACAUCUAGCUCUGGACUUUUUGAAAACUUGUAGCCAAUGGAAGGAGAAUUACCCACCUUGUAACGUUCAUUGUGAACGCUUUCCAGGCCGUUCUGGCAUCCGAUGAAUGUGAUUCCUAUGCCCUCUUUCUCUAUCCUCCCAAUGGUCUUCAGUUUUUGGAACUCACCCCAAAGAAUCCUACAGUGUCCAGCCACAGCUUCCUGCUAAGGUGGGAUUCUGCCAAGGGGAAGCAGAUGAUGUGAAGAGAAAAGCCCUGUACUUCAGCCUGACUAACAGUGAGCAGUCGGUGAAGAAUCUCUACCAUUUGUUUAUAUAGUGGAUUACGUCGAUGGAUUUCCGUGUGUUAAACCAUCCAUGCAUCCCUGGGAUGAAGCCUACUUGAUGAUGAUGGGAUGAGCACCUGGCUGCCUUGUUCCAGAAGCUGGAGGAACCUAUUUGUUCUGUUAAGCAAGAAGAUGGGACACAGCAAUAUUUAGGGGAAUUGCUAUCUAUAUUAAUGUGAGCUGCAUAGUUCUCCUAAGCAAGGAGAUGGUCUUCAUCCUCCUUACCACUUCCACCCUUGCCUACCCCAGGGACUGUCUGACAAGAGAUGAAAUUGCUUCUUGUGGCUAUGAAGGUCCAUUAAUGAACAUAAGUUGAAGGACCAUGGAAAGGAGUAUAUCUCUUACAUAUUCACAGAAGAUUAUGCCAAG
ensembl:lncRNA